GUGUGUGUUUACCCUGGGGUGUCUGUGUUUACCGUGUGUGUGUUUACCAUGGGGUGCCAGUGUGGUGUAUCCUGUCUGUGGGACGCUCCAGGGGCUCCACUCGGUACGUCCCUCCCCCCGGGCACACACCCUGAACAGAUGAUCAGUGUGGGGGUCCAGGUGUAGGACCAGGAACUCCUGCUCCGGCCCGAUGUAGGUAUCCUCGUACUGACCAGACACUGAGCGACGAUACUGCAGGCGGUAGUCCUGCACCGCAAACUCAUCAUCCACCUAGAGAGACAGAUGUUAUGAAACACACCCCACAGGACAGUGUACUAGUUAAUAUCAGUAUCAUAACACCCCACAGGACAGUAGUUAAUAUCAGUAUCAUAACACCCCACAGGACAUUAGUUAAUAUCAGUAUCAUAACACCCCACAGGACAGUGUACUAGUUAAUAUCAGUAUCAUAACACCCCACAGGACAGUGUACUAGUUAAUAUCAGUAUCAUAACACCCCACAGGACAGUGUACUAGUUA
rnacentral:lncRNA from 1 species